rnacentral:tRNA from 1 species
GUUUUAAUAGUGUAAUUUAACACACUUGCCUUUCAAGCAAGAGCUAAUAUUUUAUUUUAAAAUA